GUAGGUGGCAAGCGUUGUCCGGAUUUACUGGGCGUAAAGAGCGCGCAGGCGGUCGUUCAAGUCGCGUGUGAAAGCCCCCGGCUCAACUGGGGAGGGUCACGCGAUACUGAUCGACUCGAAGGCAGGAGAGGGUAGUGGAAUUCCCGGUGUAGUGGUGAAAUGCGUAGAUAUCGGGAGGAACACCGGUGGCGAAGGCGGUUCUCUGGGCCUGUACUGACGCUGAGGAACGAAAGCGUGGGGAGCGAACAGG
rnacentral:rRNA from 1 species